GCUUACGGCCAUACCAACCUGGCUAUGCCCGAUCUCGUCUGAUCUCGGAAGCUAAGCAGGUUUGGGCCUGGUUAGUACUUGGAUGGGAAACCGCCUGUGAAUGCCAGGUGCUGUAAACUU
rnacentral:rRNA from 1 species